UACGUAGGGUCCGAGCGUUGUCCGGAAUUACUGGGCGUAAAGAGCUCGUAGGUGGUUUGUCGCGUUGUCCGUGAAAACUCACAGCUCAACUGUGGGCGUGCGGGCGAUACGGGCAGACUGGAGUACUGCAGGGGAGACUGGAAUUCCUGGUGUAGCGGUGGAAUGCGCAGAUAUCAGGAGGAACACCAGUGGCGAAGGCGGCUAUCUGGACGGUUUCUGACACUAAGACACGAAAGCGUGGGGAGCAAACAGG
rnacentral:rRNA from 1 species